rnacentral:lncRNA from 1 species
GUCCACACAGGUGCUCUCCGCUGUAUGGUAGGCUACUUGAGGGGCCAUGAGCUUUCUUCUCCAUUUUCUCAACUUUGGCCAGAAACACAGCCAGGUUUUGAUAAUAUCCUUGAUUUUGUCUCUUCUUUCUGUCAUGUAACCCAUUCUUUAUGUGGACUUAAUCUCAAAUCUCCAGUCCUUUUGCCUGGAGACCUUCGUUCUAAAGUCCACGUCCUUCUAAUUUAGCUGAACUGGUGGCUUUCUGAUUUCAGAAGCAAUCAUCCUAGGUCAAUAAUUCCAGAUUUUCUUAUGUUAUUUAAUUCGUUGUUUUUGUGCUCUGAUGUUGC